rnacentral:rRNA from 1 species
UCAGUAACACGUAGUCAACAUGCCCAGGGGACGUGGAUAACCUCGGGAAACUGAGGAUAAACCGCGAUAGGUCACUACUUCUGGAAUGGGUAAUGACCCAAACCUAUAUGGCCCCUGGAUUGGACUGCGGCCGAUCAGGCUGUUGGUGAGGUAAUGGCCCACCAAACCUGUAACCGGUACGGGCUCUGAGAGGAGGAGCCCGGAGAUGGGCACUAAGACAAGGGCCCAGGCCCUAUGGGGCGCAGCAGGCGCGAAACCUCUGCAAUAGGCGAAAGCUUGACAGGGUUACUCUGAGUGAUUUCCGUUAAGGAGAUCUUUUGGCACCUCUAAAAAUGGUGCAGAAUACGGGGUGGGCAAGUCUGG